UUGCAGGCUGGAAUAGGAGCACUCCAUUCUCCAGAGGACAUACACUGCAUGGUCUCCAUGCUGCUUGGCAGGUAACCCCUAUCACAGCUGAUAGAGCAGGAAGAAUUGUAGCUGAAGUUUCCCAGUGGGUGACUGCAAACCAGGCUUCCAUGCUCAGGGGAUUCCAGGGCUGUACAGUUCACAAUUUGCUCACACUUGAGUCCACUGAAGCCAGGGUCACACUUGCAAGUGUAAUUAUUGAUGGUCUCUACACAUUCACCGUGGCCACUGCAGGAUGUAUUGGUACAGGCAGCUGUGUAGCAUAGGGCAAGCUUCUUCUUGCUGCACCUCUCAUCAUUCCACAUGCCCACAUCUUUUUCUCUCUUGAUGUAGAUCUCCACGCA
rnacentral:lncRNA from 1 species